GAUGAACGCUGGCGGCGUGCCUAACACAUGCAAGUCGAGCGAACCCUUCGGGGUGAGCGGCGGACGGGUGAGUAACGCGUGGGUAACCUGCCCUAUACACACGGAUAACGUACCGAAAGGUACGCUAAUACGGGAUAAUAUUGUUGGAUGGCAUCUUCUAACAAUCAAAGCUCCGGCGGUAUAGGAUGGACCCGCGUCUGAUUAGCUAGUUGGUGAGGUAAUGGCUCAACAAGGCGACGAUCAGUAGCCGACCUGAGAGGGUGAUCGGCCACACUGGAGCUGAGACACGGUCCAGACUCCUACGGGAGGCAGCAGUGGGGAACAUUGCACAAUGGGCGAAAGCCUGAUGCAGCAACGCCGCGUGAGCGAUGAAGGUCUUCGGAUCGUAAAGCUCUGUCCUCAAGGAAGAUAAUGACGGUACUUGAGGAGGAAGCCCCGACUAACUACGUGUCAGCCGCCGCGGUAA
rnacentral:rRNA from 1 species